GAUGAAGAACGUAGCGAAAUGCGAUAAGUAAUGUGAAUUGCAGAAUUCAGUGAAUCAUCGAAUCUUUGAACGCACAUUGCGCCCAUUAGUAUUCUAGUGGGCAUGCCUGUUCGAGCGUCAUUUCAACCCUUAAGCCUAGCUUAGUAUUGGGAAUCGACUUUACUGUCGUUCCUCAAAUUCAACGGCGGAUUUAUAGCAAUCUCUGAACGUAGUAAUUUUUUUUCUCGUUUUUGAAAUACUAUAAACCUCAGCCGCUAAACCCCCAAUUUCUUAUGGUUGACCUCGGAUCAGGUAGGAAUACCCGCUGAACUUAAGCAUAUCAAUAGCGGAGA
rnacentral:misc_RNA from 1 species